GCCGAAGUGGCGGAAUUGGUAGACGCGUCGGUCUCAAAAACCGAUGGAUGCAAAUCCGUGCCGGUUCGAUUCCGGCCUUCGGUACCA
rnacentral:tRNA from 1 species